rnacentral:lncRNA from 1 species
GCGAAGACUAACUUCCCCACCCCCGCUGAGCUCCAGCUCGAGGCCGCUGCCAACAUCAACAGCCACAACAACAACGUGCCGAAGGCUGCCGCGGCAAACAACAGCCCCAGCCAGAGCAGCACCGUUGAGUCCUCGUCCCCGCCGCCGCCUCCGCUGGACCUCGCUCUAGCGCCCCAUUUCGCUGCCGGCGGCGGCUACUUCACCGCCGCGAGUGGCUUCCGCGCGGUCCCCGUGGCGCGUCCCGUGCUCUUCUUCGACGCCUUCGCACGUGCGGAGAACGCCGCCGCCCUCCAGCGCGCUCGCGAAAUGUGCAGGUUCGAGCGUGCGGUUGUAGCUCCCUCCUCCGGCGGGGCCCACAGCGACUCGUCCUCGUCCUCGGUGGUGGAUUUCGAUCGCAGCCUUCCCAACGGACGGCUCGAUCUCGACCUCAACCUCCCUCCACCAUCGGAAGUCGCCUGAGGCCGCCCCCUCCAACCAAGAUCGCGUCUUUUUUUUAUCCGGUCUAAAUUUGUUCUUUCUUUUUUAGCUUAAAAAAAACCCACCUAGGCUGUUUAGAGAGCGAGAAAGCAAGCGAAGC